UGUGUACGACGUGGUGAAUUACAAUGUGAUGAUCGUAGAUCGUAGUUCUUUCACUACAGCGCAGCUGCUGAAGUGACGGCCCUGCGCCCCCGCGCACCCAUGGCCCCGUCGUGGUGGUCGGUCCCGCCUCAGAAACGGCGCUUUCGGUUCUAUUUAGAACCGACUACAUCGUCAAAGUUCCCCUACAGAUUGUGUGGAGCCAGAAGAAAGAAUCGUCUGCUGCUCUAGAUGCUUCACAGGCAAGUUCAGAUGAGCUUUUUGAGGACAAUGUCGGGCUCGAAGAUGAACCAUAUCUGCAGGUUGAAUUUCCUAUAACAGUCAGCAAGGUCCAUGGUAAUUCGGAAUGUAGUCAAGAGGUUCCUGAGGAUGUUGAAGUCGACAACCCAGAUGCUGACGUCUCUGAUUGUGUGGCAAGAAAUUCAGCAGUAAUGCUUCCUGGCCUCUCUGUAAGUAGAUUGCAAGCUUGUGCUUGUGUGAGUCGUAAUUCAAUAAAAAUGUGCUUACUGGAUUACAACCACUGAAAGCUCAUAUUUGAAGGUGCGAGAUCAGAAGGUUCCUUGUAAAGCACCAAUUAUGUGAGAUAUUGGUGAUGGAGUACUGACUCAGAUUUUAGAAGUAUUUUGUAUUCUUGCGCUUAAUAAAAUCGGUGUCAAGAACACUAACAAGUUUAUUGGGGUUGCUCGGAAUGCAAUUAGUACAUUUUCAAUGCCACUUCCUUAAAAAAAACAUUUGUGGUGUUCAUAUCGAGCUGGUGGUUAUGUGUAAACACAGUGUGACGUAGGUCUAAGUCACGUGAGGACAGCAACACUUGAUGUUCUUGCAGCCCUCUGUAGUUUCAGAAAGGGCCUUUUGGAAGGCAACCGAAUGAGAAUUGUGGCUUUUGCAUUACAGCAUCCCAUGUCUCGAUGACAUUCUGCCAUCAAGAUACAUCAGGCAUUUCAUGCCGCUUUCUAAAAGCCUCUUCAUGCUGCUCAAGGAAACUGUCGAGGAGUCUGAGGCAUUUAUUGCUCAGAGAUUGUUAAAGAGGUUUGUUCAAGAGGUUUCCAUACUGUAUGGUGCAGCCGCUCAGACCAUAUUAUUGUUAUGCCAGGAAAUUAUCUGUCAGCAGUAUUUUUUACCCUUCAUGUACAGUAUCGAGCAUCCACCAGCACAUGUAGGGCAGUGUUUGCUGCAUGAAAGCAGCAUGGCUUCACCGUGUGUUCUUGUAGAUCGAGGGGGAACAUUCGUUGUAGCAAAAAUGCCGAAUAUUUUCGAAGGUGACUAAAAGAUGUGUGCCAUAUUCUUCUAGUGUACGAGACGUGUUUCUCCAAAAGUUCAUAUGGUGCACCUUGUCCAACAGUUGAUAUGAUAGGUUAGAAUGUACAGUUUUCCUUUUCUUUCUUUCAUCGGUGAGCAUGUCUCCUUUUUUCAGUGCACUUGUUGUUAAUCCCCCUGCUGCAUGCCUAGGCAUGCAGCAGGGUGUUUUUGUUUUUUGUUAAUUACUCAAGUGCCUCAUGCGCCAAAUAAUUACUCAAUACUUGGCGAGGGUCUUGUGAUAGUAAGGCAGAGAAUAUUGCAGAAAUAUUUGUCGUUUAACCUUGAUCUGACACCCGAAUGUAACUACUCUGAUUGACGAUAUAGACUCAUACAGGAUUUUUAAAAGGAAGAUUCAGUCACACUUACUAUCUACCAUAGGCGUGCGCAGGGUUCCCCUUCAGGGGGGCGAAGGUUCGUCGCAGCACCCCCUCCCAGUUCUGUCAACGUAUGGCGCUGACAUUGCCCCCCCCCCCCCGAGUGGCAGCGCCCCCCUGCCUAUUAUGUCAAUGUAUGGGGCUGGCUUUGCACGCCCCCCCCCCCCCUCUUAGGUGAAUAGGGGGGGCAGCCGCCCUCCCUGCCCUCCUGUGCGCACACCUAUGCUAUCUACAUAAACAUAUUCACCGUCAUCAUAAUCAUUGUUUUGUAUUCUCUAAAGUAUUUGUUUUCUUUGUUUUUUUAAUUUCUGAAACCUUAUGCAUUGAAAUCUUACGUUUCGUCAUGUAAUGUCACAUUCAUGUUUGUUUAUUUUCUCAAACUUUGUUUCAUUUGUUGGUCACAUAUAUGCCUUACUGAUGUCAUUGCCUGGGCCAAUUCACUCAUCUAUUUGUUUUCUUAUACACAUGUGGCCUGCACGUAGCAACUAAUUUAUGCUUAUUUCAUUAUUGACUGUUCAUUUUUUACACUGAGCAUUUUGUCAUUUUGGUGGGAUUUUAGGUUUUCAGGGGGCAGGCGCCUUGUCAGGCUUUUAUACCUUUUCGCCGGUCCCCUAGGCAAAUUGUACCUUUCUUUGUUUUGCUUUUUUCCCGAAAUAAACCUCAACUUCACCUUGCUUGUCUAACCGCCUUGUCGUAUGACAUUUGUAGUAUUGGCAUUUUGCAGGAAAAAUAUGCAUAUGCAGAAAACAAACUACAGUUGCAACCGUUCCUUAACAACAAACAUGUGAAACAUUCUUUUGAUGCUAUUUGCUGAUGCUAUUUCUGCCUGUCAGUGAACUUAUAUUUCUGUGCUUGGUUGCCACAUUGAGAAGUGAUAUGUCCGAUACUGGCAGCUGGCUUGUUGCGCCCUUCCUUCUUUGGGGUCUACCCUUUUAAGGACAGAGGCCAUAAGAAGAAUAUCUCAUAAUUUUUAGUGGGUUUACUUAAGCUGGUUUUUGGCUUUCCAUUUCAAAUGUGCUUUUCAUUUCCAAUGUUCCUAUGGGAGUACAGCAUGAUUUCAAAAUUUUAUAGCAGAUAUAAUCAAGCACUUUAUGGCACAACGUUCUGGGAUUGCUGAAAUUUUCAAACGUAUAGCCCUGUUACUUUGAUUAUUUUGCAUUCUUUUUUUAUUGGACAUUGAUGUACAUGCAUGUAUGCCUACUGCAGUUCACCAUGUCUGUAUAGUGCAAUUAGAAGUACAAAAACUUGUUCUGUGCUGAUGCGUUGAAUAAAUGCAAAUGUGACAUC